rnacentral:tRNA from 1 species
GCCUGGGUGGCUCAGUUGGUUGAGCAUCUGACUUCGGCUUAGGUCAUGAGCUCACAGUGCGUGGGUUCGGGCCCCACGUCGGGCU